CUUUUCUUACACAUACACAGCCAUCAGUUCAGAGUGGAUUAAGACUUAAGCAUACAACUGUAAAACUCCUAGAAGAAAACAGAGAACAAGUGUCUUGGCAAUGAUUUCUUGGAUAUGACACUAACAGCACAGGCGGCAAAAGCAAAAACAGACAAAUGGGACAACAUCAAACAAAAACGCUUCUGCGCAGCAAAGGAAAUCAUUAGCAAAGUGAAAAGGCAGCCUGUGGAAUGGGAGAAAAUAGUUCACGAAUCAUGUGUCUGAUAAAGGGUUAGUAUCCAAAGUAAUAAGGAGCUCACAUGACUCAAUAGCAACAGCCCCCCAAAACAACCCCUCUGCCACUCAAAUCCCCCAAAACAACACCAAAAAAUGAUUAAAAAUGGGCAAAAGACCAUUUCUCCAGAGAAGACAUACAAACGGCCUACAGGAUGCUGAAGACAAGAAGAAACACACAGUAGGGCUGAAAGUGAAAGGGGGUAUGAGAUUUGCCCUUUCCAUGCUCAGAAACGAGAGACCAGGACUCCUCUUUCAUUCGGUAAGGUUAAAAUUUCCAACAUAACUUGAGUCUCACCUGAAGAUACACACAUCUGUCUCCAGUCACCGUUAUGGCAUAUUCCCCGGGCAGCUCUGGCAAUGAGACCUGAUGCAGUAACAGGAAGUUGGUUUUGUCCACUUGGAAAUUCGUGAAAAAUGUCUGUGAAUUCCGAAUGGUCACCCGUGCAGCUUUCUCAGUCCUGGUGAAUGUGGCUGCUCCAUAUCUGGACAAGGCAUGGAGAGCCACCACCGUGUCCUGGAAGAGAGGAGUGGAGAACCCACCCCCAAAGAGUAAGUUUUUGGUAGCAGGGACUGCCCCCAAAGUCUGUGUGGGUUACCACAAGGGGAUGAUGGCUUUCCCCCCCUGAAGUUUACAUAUGCUAAUUGCGUUUCCUUUUUCUUUGCCUUUUAGGCACCAUCAAAGUUAUGCUACAGUUUCCGCAAGUGAAAUAAAAGACUUCUGAUGCCAAUUAGCCUGGCAAUUUGUUUUCACUUAUAUUAGUUUUGUCCUAAGGGACUAUUCCCCUGCGUCCAGAGAUUACGGCCUACCCUUUCUCAUCAAUGGUGCCCCUGGCUAUAGCUGUCCAAGAUUGGGUCUAAAACUGACAAGUUAGGAAAAAGGGUGAAUGGUGUUCAUUUAGGUAGAAGAGUGACGGAAAUUGGCUGCGAGUAGUGAUAUGAGACCAUGGCACUUUCCCAAGUUUCUUUCCCACUUUUAUAUAGCGUAUUUUCAUUUCCCACACCUAAUUUCUCUGAAAAAUAAAAGUCCCACUAUGUACAUCCUAAAUAUUGAAAGAGCUUUGUAGGAGGGAAAACCCAGAUUCUCUGGAUAUUUAACACAAUCACUCAUAUCCUCAGUAAAAUAGUUCCAGAAUUGUGGUAGGAAAAAAAGAAAAUUCCAAGAACUUCAGCUUUGAAAACAAAAAUUGGUUUAGAGGAGAACAAAUUUCUCAGGGCGGGCAGAAAGGCGUGGAGAGGCUGGAUAGAACUUCUCAAUCAUUCUGUGAAGACCAAAGUGAACUCUACUUGGUCACUUCCCUUUUAUUUUCUUUUUAAUUUUUAAUGUUUAUUUUUGAAAGAGAGAGAGAGAGAGAGAGAGAGAGAGAAUGAGCAGGGGAGAGGCAGAGAGAGAAGGGGACAGAGGAUCCAAAGCAGGCCCUGUGCUGACUGACGGCAGAGAGCCUGAUGUGGGGCUCGAACUCAUGAACUGCAAGAUCAUGAUCUGAGCUAAAGUCAGACACUCAACCUACUGAGCCGUCCAGGUGCCUCGGUCACUUUCCUUUUAAUCAUACAAUUUUCUGGUUCACCUUAGAGGGUUUCUUGUUGGAAGAAUCCUACAGGAGCCAAGAACACUGUUUCUUAUCCAGUGGUGAUUCUACCUUAUCUCGACUGAGAGUAGGUGGGGUGCUAUGGGCCAUCUAGUGGGGAGAGGACACGGGUGCUGCCAAACAUCUUCGGUGCCCAGGACAGCCCCUCACAACAGUGUUCUUGGCUUCCCCAAGUAUCUUCCCCAAAAUGUCAGGAGCACCGAUAUUCAAAAACCCGAGUCUAGAGUGUGGCCAGCGACCCAUGUGUGUAAGCUUUAGAGAGGGCUGAUGUUCAUGGUCAGUAGCCACACGGAUAGGGUGUCAACAUAGCACUUGGGAAAAGCGUUUUGGGGGAAUGUCUCAGGUCUGUUUCCUUCAGAUUCCCACUGUCCUCAAAUAUCCCUAAAGAACCCUCCUCAUGAUUUAAUGGUCUCUUCUCUUUUCCUCGUAACUGUUCUGUUUUCAAGCUUCCCAUCUGCCAAGUGAAUCUGGAAGAGAAGACUAUUUGGGAACCACAGACCUGGGUGGAGGAGAAGCCCCCGUGGGCAUUCUGUUGCUUUAGGAUCCAGCUCACGAUGCCCGCGGCCGAAGUCAGGUCCUCGGAGGUCGGGCCGGGCUGGGCCGUGAGGUGAGCGAGGAGCACGUAGGACGUCAUCUCCACCUCAGCUGAGGGAGCCUGGGGCUGAUAAAGAGGCCCCACUGGUGCCCUGGGUUUCUCAGGUCGCUCCCAGUGGACUGAGUUGCCUUAAGGGUAAGAAAAAGGAUGAUGGUUCGCAGAUGAUACAUGAAAACACAUUUGUAUCAUGUGUAGCUGAAAAUAAUACAGGGAUGGAGUAAGGUCCUCUCUUCCAUAAGCCCCACAAAUUCCCUGAGUCACGUUUGCAUACUAAGCUUGGUUUAGUCCUUGGGGCUAAGUUGAAGAAUGUUGUUGGAGGCCGAAGCACGGAACAUCCUUUGCAGUGUCUUAAAUGUUAUUUUUUUAUUAAUUUUUUAAUGUUUAUUUUUGAGAGAGAGAGAGAGGCAGAGAACGACGGAGACACCGAACCCGAAGCAGGCUCCAGGCUCUGAGCUGUCAGCACAGAGCCCGACGUGGGGCUUGAACUCACAAACUGUGAGAUCAUGUCCUGAGCUGAAGUCGGACGCUGAACCGACCGAGCCACCCAGGCACCCAAGAGAGUUCCCUUAUUGCUUGAGAUAUUUCGUGGAAACUGGAGGAUAAAUUGGAAUAUAAAACCCACGCAUUGAUCCCAGAGGACUUUUUGUGAUCAUCUCUUUGCACAUAGAGAUAAAAACACUGUGAAAAUGUUAUUGCACUUCCCUCAGUAUGGCUUUUUGGUUGUGCCUCUUUUCAUUCGAGUAUAAUUUCAUUCAAGCAGGCAGAUACCAUGGGAAAUAUAUAUAAAUUUAAAAAAUAUAUAUAUGUCGCAGUGAGGAAUAAACUUCCACAAUUUACCUGCAGCACUGUCUAUUAUGUGACACACUGUAUAACAUAUGACAUCGCAGAGACGACAUUUUUAUGAGAGGUACUCUGAUUUCAUAACACCUGAGUUGGAUAAGGAGACUUAUUACUUUCAGCAGGAACACAAUUGUCUUUUUGCACUGUCAGGGGAAGAGGAGGGGGACAAUUUUUGACCAUUCGCUCUCACCUUCUUUCACAGCUUCCUCCCUAAGAGAGUCCAGUAUUUCUCUCUUCUUGUCUUGCUUUCCCACCAGGGCAAAAGCGUAGGCCAACAACGCCUUGGUGUAGCUAUGGCUCCCAUGGGUCCCCUCCUUUGCCGUGUUCCAGGCAGACUCCAGGCAGAAGAGGGCAUUGCGAAUAACCGGGUGCUGCAAAGACCAGGAGAGAGUGAGCAGGGGCGAGGGGCAGAGGAAGAGAGAGAGGAGAGUCUUAGGCGGGCUCCACAUUGUGGAGCCUGACACAGGGCUCGAUCCCACGGCCGUGAGAUCGUGACGUGAACGAAAAUCAAGAGUCGGGUGCCUAACCGACUCCUGUAAACUUUUAGGACAGGAAAUUCCGUUAGUCUUCCCAGGGGGAUUGUGUGAGUAUGGUACAAUUCUCCUUUAUUAUCUCAAGAAUAUGGCCAUAUUUUUUCAUUGUUAUUAUUGCUAGGGUCUCAGAAAAAUAUGUCAAAGUGGUCCGGACCGAUCUACCUCCACCAACAGGGUUUUGAUGACCGUGUCUUUUCUCCCCAUCUCAGGGACCUCAGCAAUCUCAUUUCCACACAGCUCGAGGGACGGCACUGCCUCUGCACUCACCGAGAAGUUCACACUCCCUGGAACAGAAAAACGUAGAAAAACAUGCGUGUUCACCUUGACAGCAGUCCAUGCCAUCCCUUAUAGCUGAAAAUGUGUGCUUGUCAAAUGGUCUACCACUGAGCUAUUACCCCCGGAAAAUGACUCUGUGCUCUGUCAUCAUCUUGAAGGGCUGCCCUUUCACCUUACUGUUGGCCGGAAGUGGGAAAUAAAGCUGAAAAAAAACUCAAGGCUCAUGUCCACUGUGCCCAAGCCACAAUGAUCAUGGGACCCAGGUGCAGUGGGAGUACUGGGAGGCCGCUGGGGGUAGAAAGCAAAAGAAAUGACAAACUAACCUUACGGAAUUAUAUUUGCAGAAAGCAGAAAGGAGAACGUGAUGUACGUAGGGUCCAGAUACCUACGACGCUUGUUGAUCGGAGAACGUGUUGGGGGAACGUCACUCACCCAGUGUUUUGGGAGUUAUCGUCCAAGACAGGGUUCGCCUCUCAUUUACACAGAUGCAAUGAGAUUCCUCUCCCUUUUCAUUCUGGGAUUGUAGGAAGGCUGGGGAAGCUUGCAGUUGCACACUGACCUAUCAUUUGCAAGCGAGGCAUAGAAACAAAUGGUCAGAAUAUGGAGAGACAAUGAAUGCACAGAACUGGGACCACGUAUGAGAUGCUGCACUAGACUGGGACUGGGAGGAAAAAUUAUGUCACGUAAGUCCACGCAUGCUUUGAGGAGUUUAAGAAUGGCAGUGAUACAAAGCAAGAAUGAUUCCUUACUAGGAGGAUCGGGCCUUUGCAUUAGGGUGGAUUGGAGAAAUUUGCAGGUAUAGCAACAGUGGAGGGGAGGGGAAAACCACAAUGGAAGAUUGCCCAUGGGAGCAUUACCUACUGGUUCUACCCGUUGGUUCCUACCUCCCGUGUAGAUUUUCUUCCUGACUUCUUUCUUCCCUUCUUCCCACUUCCCUCAACAAAUAUCACCUGUCUACUAUAUACAAGACAGAGCAAAUUAAGAGCUUCCGGACCUUGAGGAUAUUGUGUUACAAAGGGGAUAAUCGAUAUACAAAACCGUGACGAAAUUUACAAAGAAAUACAUGCUGUAGAAGUUACAAGCACAUUGUGGGAGUUUAGAGAUAAGAACCUGAAGGAUGACACUCAUGGAAUUAAGAAAAUGGGCUUUUUUUUCCGUCAGCAUCAAGAAGUUUCCUGGCAAAAAGCCUAUCCUGUGUUAAAGGAUUCGGCCAGAUUCGGGCAAUUUUCUUUUUAAAAGUAUGUGGUUUGGAGAUCCUGUACCAGUAGCCCAAAGGUCAUUGUGUUAUCUUCCUGAUCAGGUCCUGCCCUGCUUAGCACUAUUUAUUUAAAGUUCUAGGGCAGAAUUCCCAGUGUUAUCCACAGUCUUGGGAACGGAAUCGGGAGCUGACCGACCGAAGUCUUUGAUUCUAUCCCCCCUUUCAAUUCACCCUCAUUUUCCUUACCCGGAUGCAUUUGGGAAGGUAGGUUAGGACAGUGGCCUUGAGCGUGAAGGUCUCUCCGCGGAUCACAGAGUAGGGCAUUGUGAGCUCCACAAAGAAGGGCUGGAAGGCGCGGAGGGAGGCGGGAAGCGAGAGACCAAGCCCAGUGUCAUUGGACAGACAGAGGGCCCCUGCCUUCCAUUCCGUGAUGGUGUCAGGGACUGUUACUCCCACUUCAGCCACACCUGAUGCGCUGGGGAGGAUAGAAAUGUGAAGAACAGAAAGUAAGCAGGUGAAACAUCUUUUCUCAAGCGAGAAUCAAUAUGUCCACACGAGUACACCAGAUUAUGUAUCGGGAAACUGAGUUGGGAAAAUAAUAGGUACUCAACGGUGCCUCUUUCCCUCAUCAACAUGUGUGUACCUUAAAAGAAAAAUACUUUCAUGUGGUUCAGUUUGGUCCAUAGAUGUCCCUCACUGUUGUACAAUCCCAUAAACAAGCAUAUUUAAGAAUCACGAUCUAACAAACAGACCAUUACAUUUACGUAGCCUGAUUUGUUUAUGCGCGCGUUCCAAUCUCGUUUACGGAAGGCUCCCCCCAUAGCAUUAGGCAGUCUAGCAUUUGGAUAUUUUUAGCACCCAUGUCUUGUUUCUGGCGGUCUCAGGAACAGUUAUUCCAGAACUGCUCAUCUCUGAGAAAAUUUUACCUAUAUAGUAAAAUAUAUUUUUAUAUUAUAUUUGAAACCUCUAUAAUAAAACCUCUAUAAUAAAAGCAUUU